CAGUGUCACCCUGUUCCAGUUUGCAUUUAUUAGGUACAGAAGUGGCCAGGUUUCCAGAUACCAGUGUCCUUCCUUCUUGCUGUCUCCUUAUCCAGCCCCAGCUCACUAAUAGAACACAAGUCCAGCUGUGCAUUAACCUCGGCAGGAGAGGCGUGGAUUGUACUGUGUACCUGGGGGUGUGAAGAAACCCAGCCAUCAGAGGGGGAAAGAAGAAAUGAUGAAGGCUGGGAUAAACCAAUCUUUAAUGAACUUAGACCCAUUGUACACACCCUAAUGCUAGCCCUCCCAGCAGCCCCGUGAGGAAGUGGCUGUCAUCCCACUGGACAGACAAGGUAAUGGGGCCUGGAGAGGUCAAGCAGGCCAUCCAAGAUGGCAGAACCAGGGCCGAGAGCCGGAAUGGAUCCAGGUCCCACUGCCCUUCCACAGGGCCAGCCCUCCACUGUGGAUCAGACCACGAGAGAAUGAAUACACAACGGAGCCCUCUCGUCUUCUCUCCUCUUCCAUGUGAUUGCCCGGGUGACUUCUAGAAUGAGGGAUUCAUUCAUUGAAGACAUGACCUGCAUGCCAAGCACCAAAGUGAGUGAGGCCUGACGGUGUGGCUCCCCUUCACAGCACCUACCAGGCUUGCUCCACAAAGCAUAAAUUCCACUAGGACUGCCUGCCUGAGAGGAAGUCUUUAGGACCAAGAAAGCUUGCCGAGACAGACAGCCAUCUGACAAGAACUGAGGCCAGAAAUGUGAUGGAGUAAAAGAAAACUUAGCGAUCUUGGCCAGGUAACUUAGUGGCUUCAUCAGGACUUGGGGGUGUCUGCACAAGGGAUGAAGACAUCAGGGAAAGGUGCAGGGAAACCUGAAGUUUGGAAGACACCACAGAGCCCUUGUUAACACUCCUGGAACCCUAACAAGCCACAGAGACAGGGUGCAACCACAGUGACUCAUGCCAGUUGAGUGGCUUACUCGCUCUGGAGUGAUCCGCACCUGGCUGGGAUUUUACCUUUGCUUCUCAGGACUCGUGUGACCACAGAUACGUCAAUCUUGUCCAGCCUCAGUUUUCUCAUCAGUAAAUUUGGGUAUGAAAAUAGUUUCGCUUUCUCCUGGAAUUAUUGUGAAGUGAUGUGAAGUAGUGCCUGGCACAUCAGAGUCCAAUAACGAACUAAGCUAUUAGUAUAUGAUGAGAGCAGUAUCAGGGCCACAGCCAGGAGUGUGGACAGGUGAUGGUCCCGGUUUAGGCACAGAGUAGGGAAUGCAUGCUUUCUGAUGCUGACUUUUCAUCAGAGCUGUGGCUUCCAAACUAGGCAUAGCUUUGGAAUAAGGCACCUAUUCUGGAUAUCCUGGUCUAGUUCAUUUCCCACCCUUACUCCUUUCUGCACACACCAGUCACUCAUUUUAUUGCUAAUCCCAGGGCACCAGAGUUCCCAGAAUGGCAUCAGGCCCUUGUCACAACCCUGGAGACAAUCCGUAACACAUUGUAUCUUCAGCCCCUCAAAGGAACAAGAGAAGUACAUACCUGAGAACCAAAUACCCUGAUUUCACCACUUUCAGCAAAUGUUUGUGGCACAAAAUAUGCUGUACUCUUAGCAAGAGCCAAAGGGCCUGAGCUUGUAAACUGCUAAGAAAGCUCCAUUUUCUUACUAAGAGGAUCAUUUCUUUGGCUGGAGCCCAGCAAAAAGCUCCCUGGAUCAUAGUGCUGACUACGAAUGAGCCUCAGGUGUGUCUACAUCUCACAGACAAGGAGAGUGACAGGUAAGUAAGGGAAUCCUGGCAAAUA